rnacentral:rRNA from 1 species
UAUCUCUGUAGAGUCUGCAUAUCAAUAAGCGGAGGAAAAGAAACUAACAUAGGAUUCCCUCAGUAACGGCGAGUGAAGCGGGAAGAGCUCAAAUUUGAAAUCUUCAAGGUUCUACCUUGACGAAUCGUAGUUUAAAGAAGUGUUUUCUGUUGAAGUUUUGGUAAAAGUUCUUUGGAAUAGGACAUCAUAGAGGGUGAGAAUCCCGUAUUUGACCAGUUAUUUCAGCUGUGUGAUACACUUUCAAAGAGUCGGAUUGUUUGGGAAUGCAGUCCAAAAUGGGUGGUAAAUUUCAUCUAAAGCUAAAUACUGGCGAGAGACCGAUAGCGAACAAGUACCGUGAGGGAAAGAUGAAAAGAACUUUGAAAAGAGAGUUAAACAGUACGUGAAAUUGUCAAAAGGGAAGCGUUUGACACCAUGUGUUGUUUUCUCGAAAAUCAAUUAAAAAUGGCUGGAUUUUGUGUUGUAUUGACCUUAAAAGCUUUCUUCACUUUUUUCAUGUCUUUUUUAAUGCACUUUUCGUUUAACAAGUCAACAUCAGUUUCUUUUGUUGUAAAAAGGUCAUUGGAAGGUGGCUUUCUUUUCGGAGAAAGUGUUUAUAGCCUUUGACUCCUGCAAUCGGAGAGACUGAGGUCUGCAGCGUAGAUCCUUCUUGGAUUAGAUUCAUUUGUGCUAAGUUAUAGCUUUUUAUAGACAACUUGUUGACUAUAUUUAGUCUUGUAGCUUACUCGCUUAUGCAAUUUUACCUACGCUUAGGAUGUUGAACGCGCACAGAGUCUC